rnacentral:rRNA from 1 species
GAUGAACGCUGGCGGCGUGCCUAAUACAUGCAAGUCGAGCGAACAGACGAGGAGCUUGCUCCUCUGACGUUAGCGGCGGACGGGUGAGUAACACGUGGAUAACCUACCUAUAAGACUGGGAUAACUUCGUGAAACCGGAGCUAAUACCGGAUAAUAUAUUGAACCGCAUGGUUCAAUAGUGAAAGACGGUUUUGCUGUCACUUAUAGAUGGAUCCGCGCCGCAUUAGCUAGUUGGUAAGGUAACGGCUUACCAAGGCAACGAUGCGUAGCCGACCUGAGAGGGUGAUCGGCCACACUGGAACUGAGACACGGUCCAGACUCCUACGGGAGGCAGCAGUAGGGAAUCUUCCGCAAUGGGCGAAAGCCUGACGGAGCAACGCCGCGUGAGUGAUGAAGGUCUUCGGAUCGUAAAACUCUGUUAUUAGGGAAGAACAAAUGUGUAAGUAACUAUGCACGUCUUGACGGUACCUAAUCAGAAAGCAACGGCUAACUACGUG